rnacentral:misc_RNA from 1 species
UGGUUCUGGCAUCGAUGAAGAACGCAGCGAAAUGCGAUAAGUAAUGCGAAUUGCAGAAUUCAGUGAGUCAUCGAAUCUUUGAACGCACAUUGCGCCCUUUAGCAUUCUAGAGGGCAUGCCUGUUCGAGCGUCAUUAUCAACCCUCAAGCCUGGCUUGCCGUUGGACCUUAUGCCGUUACCAGGCAGGUCCCAAAGAUAGUGGCGGUGUCAAAUCGACCCUCGGUGCAACGAGCUUUAACCAGCACGCAUCUGAGUCGGACGUUUGACCCAGUCUAGUCAUCCAAUUUUUUCAAGGUUGACCUCGGAUCAGGUAGGAAUACCCGCUGA